rnacentral:rRNA from 1 species
GACGAACGCUGGCGGCGUGCUUAACACAUGCAAGUCGAACGAAGUGGCGAACGGGUGAGUAACGCGUAAUCAACCUGCCCUUCACUGGGGUACAACAGUGGGAAACGAUUGCUAAUACCGCAUACUGAAGGUGGGGUCUGCGUCUGAUGAGCUAGUUGGCGGGGCAACGGCCCCCCAAGGCGCUGAUCAGUAGCCGGUCUGAGAGGAUGAACGGCCACAUUGGGAAUGAGACACGGCCCAGACUCCUACGGGAGGAAGCAGUGGGGAGUCUUCCGCAAUGGACGAAAGUCUGACGGAGCAACGCAGCGUGAGUGAUGACGGCCUUCGGGUUGUAAAGAUCUGUUAAUCGGGACGCGGUACCGGAAUAGAAAGCCACGGCUAACUACGUGCCAGCAGCCGCGGUAAUUC